GAACCUAGAGGGUUCCCAAGCCAGAAUUGUGGAUCUAACGAUUGUGGAGUCUGGGUUGCAGCUUGGAUGCAAGAAUGUAGCGUGAAUGAUAACUAUAACUUUACACAAGUAUGCCAAGAUGCAAGGAUGAAGCUUGCGCUUGAUGUGGUUCAUAGUAGCUACAAUCAACUUAUGGAUGAAGUUGAAGAAAAGGCGCACCAUCAUUGGAAAAAGACGACAAAAAUUGCUUAGAAUCUAUUUUGCAACUUUAUUUUGCAUUUGUUUAACUUUAUUUUUUGUAUUUUGACAAUUGCUUAGCAUCUAAAUUGUGCACACUUUGUGAUAAUUUAGAUUACUAAUUUGCACAUCUAUUUAGACAAUUUAUUU